GAUGAACGCUGGCGGCGUGCCUAAUACAUGCAAGUCGAGCGAACAGACGAGGAGCUUGCUCCUCUGACGUUAGCGGCGGACGGGUGAGUAACACGUGGAUAACCUACCUAUAAGACUGGGAUAACUUCGGGAAACCGGAGCUAAUACCGGAUAAUAUAUUGAACCGCAUGGUUCAAUAGUGAAAGACGGUUUUGCUGUCACUUAUAGAUGGAUCCGCGCCGCAUUAGCUAGUUGGUAAGGUAACGGCUUACCAAGGCAACGAUGCGUAGCCGACCUGAGAGGGUGAUCGGCCACACUGGAACUGAGACCCGGUCCAGACUCCUACGGGAGGCAGCAGUAGGGAAUCUUCCGCAAUGGGCGAAAGCCUGACGGAGCAACGCCGCGUGAGUGAUGAAGGUCUUCGGAUCGUAAACCUCUGUUAUUAGGGAAGAACAAAUGUGUAAGUAACUAUGCACGUUUGGACGGUACCUAAUCAGAAAGCCACGGCUAACUACGU
rnacentral:rRNA from 1 species